CUAUGGGGGGCUGCAGUGAGGAAUAUUGCACAAUGGGGGAAACCCUGAUGCAGCAACGCCGCGUGGAGGAUGACGCAUUUCGGUGUGUAAACUCCUUUUAUCAGAGAAGAAAAUGACGGUAUCUGAUGAAUAAGCUCCGGCUAACUCCGUGCCAGCAGCCGCGGUAAUACGGAGGGAGCAAGCGUUAUUCGGAAUCACUGGGCGUAAAGGACGCGUAGGCGGGUUUUGAAGUCAGGUGUGAAAUCCUAUGGCUCAACCAUAGAACUGCACUUGAAACUGAGGACAUAGAGUAUGGAAGGGGCAGGUGGAAUUAGUGGUGUAGGGGUAAAAUCCGUAGAUAUCACUAGGAAUACCGAAAGCGAAGGCGACCUGCUGGGACAUUACUGACGCUGAGGCGUGAAAGCGUGGGGAGCAAACAGGAUUAGAUACCCGUGUAGUC
rnacentral:rRNA from 1 species